AUAACAAUACAGGACUCUGUAGAGGCCCUGUAAUUGUAAUGAGUCCACUUGAAAUCCUUUAACUUUGAUCAAUUGGAGGGCAAGUCUGGUGCAAGGUGGAGUUCCAC